GGAUAGCUCAGUUGGUUAGAACAUGGUGCUGAUAAUGUCAGGGUCACAGGUUUGAUCCCCAUAUGGGACA